rnacentral:rRNA from 1 species
GACGAACGCUGGCGGCGUGCCUAACACAUGCAAGUCGAACGGAAACAUAGCAAUAUGUUUUUAGUGGCGAACGGGUGAGUAACGCGUAGACAACCAACCUUUUUGUGGGGGACAACACUUCGAAAGGAGUGCUAAUACCGCAUACGUUCCGGAAGCCGCCUGGUUUUCGGAAGAAAGGAGCUUCACGGCUCCGCAGAAAGACGGGUCUGCGUCUGAUUAGCUAGUUGGAGGGGUAACGGCCCACCAAGGCGACGAUCAGUAGCCGGUCUGAGAGGAUGGACGGCCACACUGGGACUGAGACACGGCCCAGACUCCUACGGGUGGCAG